rnacentral:rRNA from 1 species
UGGGGAAUCUUGCGCAAUGGGCGAAAGCCUGACGCAGCAACGCCGCGUGGGGGAUGAAGGCUCUCGGGUUGUAAACCCCUUUCAGUAGGGACGAAACUGACGGUACCUACAGAAGAAGCCCCGGCCAACUACGUGCCAGCAGCCGCGGUAACACGUAGGGGGCAAGCGUUGUCCGGAUUUAUUGGGCGUAAAGAGCUCGUAGGCGGUUCGGUAAGUCGGGUGUGAAACCUCCAGGCUCAACCUGGAGACGCCACCCGAUACUGCUGUGACUUGAGUCCGGUAGGGGAGCGUGGAAUUCCUGGUGUAGCGGUGAAAUGCACAGAUAUCAGGAGGAACACCAGCGGCGAAGGCGGCGCUCUGGGCCGGUACUGACGCUGAGGAGCGAAAGCGUGGGUAGCAAACAGG